GGCGUGGCGGGCACCGGAUGUCGUGGAGAGAUACUGCGGGCUGUACUGGCGCCUGCACAGGGCCACAGCAGAGCUCUUCGGGCAGCAGGCUGCCUUUGCGCUGGCCCUGGCGCAGGGCUUUGCGGGUGCCUUGCUGCACCUUUCCUUCCCGGCUGCCCUGCACGUGAGCGAGCGCUUUGCCSGCUAUCUGGACGGGCAGGUGCGGGAGCUGCGCGGGAUCACGGGCAGCACGGGGUCGUUGCAGCGGCUCCUGGAGCCCUUUGUCAUCCUCUGUGGCCUGGAGCUCAGCCAUUCCUUUGAGCACUUCUACCGGUACUACCUGGGGGACCGUCUGCUGGCGCAGG